rnacentral:rRNA from 1 species
AUGUGUAUUCCAAAAAAUGAAGGAGGUAUGGGUUUUUGUGAUAUGCAUUGCUUCAAUGUUGCUUUAUUGGCUAAACAAGUGUGGUGUCUCCUUGAUAAUCCCUAUUCUCUGUGCGCUAACAUAUAGAGAGCAAAGUAUUUUCCCGAUGUUGAUUUGAUGAAUGCAAAAUUUAAAAAGAUCAUCUUUUACUUGGCAAAAUAUUAUACGAGAGUCAACUUUUUGAAGCAUGGGUAUAUCUGGCGAGUUGAGAAUGGAUGUGAUAUCAAUAUGUGGGAAGAUGCAUGGUUCCUGAAUUGUGCGAGUAGAAACAUUAUUACUCCUCGAGGGGAUCACCUUUCGUCCAAGGUUUUGGAUAUUAUUAAUCUAGUUACAAAUUUUUGGGAUGAAGAUUUGGUGAGACGGAAGUUGUGGUCUAUUGAUGCCCAACGUGUCCUUGCGACUCCGCUUACUUUGCAUGACAUGUCAGAUUUUAUUUCUUGGAGCUAUACAAAAAAAUGA